CCUACGGGAGGCAGCAGUGAGGAAUAUUGGUCAAUGGACGAGAGUCUGAACCAGCCAAGUAGCGUGAAGGAUGACUGCCCUAUGGGUUGUAAACUUCUUUUAUAUGGGAAUAAAAUGUUCCACGUGUGGGAUUUUGUAUGUACCAUAUGAAUAAGGAUCGGCUAACUCCGUGCCAGCAGCCGCGGUAAUACGGAGGAUCCGAGCGUUAUCCGUAUUUAUUGGGUUUAAAGGGAGCGUAGGUGGAUUGUUAAGUCAGUUGUGAAAGUUUGGGGAUCAACCGUAAAAUUGCAGUUGAAACUGGCAGUCUUGAGUACAGUAGAGGUGGGCGGAAUUCGUGGUGUAGCGGUGAAAUGCUUAGAUAUCACGAAGAACUCCGAUUGCGAAGGCAGUUCACUGGACUGCAACUGACACUGAGGCUCGAAAGUGUGGGUAUCAAACAGGAUUAGAUACCCCGGUAGUC
rnacentral:rRNA from 1 species